rnacentral:lncRNA from 1 species
ACAGACUCAUCUUUGGCAACGGUUCUUGAAAAAAGAACUACUGGGUCAGAAUCCCUGUUUUCCCUCCCCGUUUUCCCUCUUCUAAAUUUUGCACACCCUGUUUUCACAAAUGAAAGACUAAAUGUCUGAAGGAAAAACAAAAAGAAAAAGUAAAAGUCCUAAUACAGAUACGAAAAACAAAAAGCCUAAAUUUGAUACAAGCCCUAAAAGAUCGACUUGCCAUCCACACUCAAGCUACCACGGAGAAAAUCUUAGGAAGAAAAUAUUUGUUCAGCCCCAAAAGACAUGUCGUCCCUAGAGGUUCUGAUCUCUAUCCAACUCUGUUUUUUCUUAAAAUAGAUUUAUUUUCUUAUAUUUUUUCUCUCAUUCAUCAACAGAGAGCUUGUUGAGGCAUCUCCAGUUUGAAGCUAACUUAAGUCUCAUCUCCUUUACACUUGGUAAGAUUCAUGUUAUGUACUUGUUUAUUAAUUUAUUUAUUUAUCGAGUAAAAGACAAAUUGGGAAUAAAUUAUUGAGGUAGCUAAUUCUACAAAUUUAUAUGUUUCUUUGCUCUUUGUGAAGGUAAUUAGAUAAAGUAAAGCAAAGACCUCGAAUCGAUUUUUUGCCGGUCUUCCUAAACAUGUUUUUAAUUUCAAUUAGGAUAAUUCUCUCUAAUUAGUUUACAAAUCGCUGUGGUCUGUGAUUUCGACUUUAGAUUUUUGUUGAUUUUUUCUUUUGUUGUCAUUUCUUUGUCGAUUAUUGUAUCUUUUUGCUUCAGGCGUUAGUGUGUUGUUAAUUGUUUAUGAGAAGUAUAGUGCUGGAGUAUUCAUAUUAAGAAAUUCUUUUAUGCUCUAUCAAAAUAAUAUUGAAUUUUUCAACUAAAUAACUAUGAAAACUUAAGGAGGCACAGGGACCUUCACAUUCUAGCAAUAAGUCUAGAGUUUAUACUAAGAAAUUUGUGUCUAGGUUAAUCUAACUAGGUGGUGCAGCUCUGAAAAUUGGGUUUAAGAAAGUCAAUACACUUGUGUGUGCUUUAGGACGGAAGAUAUGUCCUAAACCUUACCCUCGUUAUGUACUCAGUUAGUUUUCUUGAGUUUCUUUCUUCUCGAGAAAAUUAAAUCAAUGGUGGGGCUACGUUUAUGUCCAAGAGAACAACAAUUUAUGAGCAUAAUCCCAUGGCUCAACUAGUGCUUUAUAGUUAAAGUGAAGAAAAAUCUUUUACCUUCUCCAGUGUUCUAAUUCUAAAGUUCGAAAUGGAUUUCAGAUAUUCCAUGGCAUACAAAGUCUCAUAUCUAUUUUCCCUUAUGUGUUUGAGCAGUUUAUUUUUGGUUAAGAUUGUGGAUUCUUCAUUCGUGAAGCAAUACUCAUUAGAUGUAAUGACAUUACAAUUAGAAAGAUCAAAUAAUCGACCCUUGAGAACUUUGGUAUGAAUGCUUCUGCUUUCUGUUGUUCAUCUUUUAGUUCGUUACUUUGAGUCAAUAGAAAGUUAAUAUGACAAUUAAGAGCCUCACAAUCUUAUUUUGAUUAUAGAUCUUAAAACCUUUUUAUUCCAUAUGUGAGGUUCAAACAUUGACAUCACAUAGACAAUAUCAAGCAUAUUCACAUAAAGGCUUUUCCUCCUGUAAUCACAACAUUUAAAAGCUCAUGAAGUGAAGAUGUGGAAACAUUAUUUCCUCAAAUAACUUAAACAAUCUCUUGCAUCAGCGCUAAGGCAAUGAUCAAUAGCGAAGCAGGUCAUGCGUCAUAUUACUCUUCGUCUUAUUACUCUUUCUCAUCCUUGCACAUAGUUUCCCCAAUCUGUCUUGCAGAUAUGAGCUGCGAAAAGUUUUUGAGCAAUUUGUAGAAGCUUUUUUUGUUGUUUGCAUUUACUGUUAUAUUUGCUAUAAAAUCUUAGUUUUCAUAUCUGUUUAGAAUGACAAAGGAUUCUUGAAAAUCUGUGUUACUAGGUGGUGUGGAAAUAGUUGGCCUGAAAAUCUAAGCUACAACUUUCUCUAACAUCUGGAUCUCCUCAAAUUAUCUUCUGUCAAAGACCAUUUAUGUCCUUCAUUAUGGUUUGCAUUUUAUGAGGUUCUCCCGUUGGCACAAUAUUUAACCUUGUUAUUUUUUGUUCUGAAAAAUCUUUAUCUUCAAGCACGUCAAGUUAUAUACAAAUUUCGUUCCUUUUCAAAAUAUUAUUGAAUAACAAUGUUUUAACAAGUAUAUCCAGUUAUCCACAUGCCUUUGUUGCUUUUAUUAAAUCAUGAAUGAGAUUUGAGUUGUCCAUUUUUUCCUUAAAUAUGUGGACUCUUUCCUCUGUUGAUUUCUGAUUCUGUUAGCAUGUUUCAAUGAAAAGUUUAAGUGUGAUUUGGUUUCAGUGAUGAAUUUAGCACCUAUUUAUUGAAAUCUACUUAUGUGAAAUGAUCGAGUUAAUAUGGAAGAUGACAUAACCAGGAAUCUAACCACCAGUAGGUCAAUGUCAUUUCUGGCGAAGCCAGUGCAAUAUUUUUUAUCAUAGUAUUGCAAAGUGUUUGUGUUACAAAACUCUUCAUGCCUUGGCUCCUGCACUUUUUGACUGCGAUUCUUAUGUGAAAAUGAUUUUUGCCUCUCCUCUUGUGUGACUGAUAUAUGCUGUUAGCUGCGUGUGAAAAUUCCUUAGGUUUAACUUUAGCACAACUUCACUAUGUCUAGCUAAAAGAUGUUGUAUUAUCUAAAAAUUUCCCUAUGUGUACUCCUGCUGAUUGCAUUUCCUAGUUAAUUUUAUGCCUUCCUUUUCAUUCCAUGGAUUCCAUUGUGAUAUUCCUGAUUCCUGACUCCCUGUAGGUUUAGAUGGAUUCCAAGAGUAGAAUAUCCACCUACAAGUGUGUUCUACAGUAUUAUGGUUAUUGUGAUCAUCUGUGAUCCAUCUGCUUUUGAUCUCGAUGUCAUGUGUUGUUCCUUUGUGUGUUGUUGAGAUCCGUACACUAUUUGGUAUCUCAUGUGUUAAACUAUGGUGCGGCAAUGAGGAGCUGUUCAUAUUUGCCUCCACUUGUCCCAUAAUUGAUUGCCAAAUCAAGUAAAUGACAAGGCCAAUUCUUAUGGAUUUCCAGUAGUGAUUCCUUGCACUUAUGCAUGUCACCUUUCCUUCUUCAAGGGAAUGAGUACAUAGUACUAAUACCAUCCACAGAAGUCGUAGUAAGUGACGAGGCAUGAGUACCAAUUAGCAAAUUUUAUGUUUUAUAGUUUUCACUUAUUUUUCUUUUUUUCUUUUUGGCAUCAAAUGGUCCUGUAUAGAACAAAAAAAGACAACUGUUUGUAGUUCUGGUUGAUUGGAGAGAUUAGAAGUACAACAAGAACGGGAAAACUUCCAGCUUAAAAAUAAAAAUAUCAAUUUGAAAAUCAGCAGCAGAAGAAUAUCUUUUUCUUGCCUUAUCUAAAAAGAAAAGAAGAUAUAUGAAGGAACAUACUUGGAUUUGGACUUCUGCUUCUUUUUUGUAGCUUGAUUUCUGAAGUGGCAAUGCCAAUUUCAUCUUUUAUUUUGUCAUCUAAGUACUCAUUUUAUUUUAUUAGUGUUAAUAGAUAGUGCGAUAAUAAUGAUAUUGAGAAGGCAAUAUUUUUUUCCUACCCUCUAACUAUUUCUGUUCUUGUUGAAUUUACAGGUGAACCAAACGUUUA